CCCGGCAGGUCCCGGCACGGUCACUGCAGAGAGGAAGCAGCAGAAGAGCCGCUGUGUGCCGGGCCCGGGGGGUGGGUGCAAGAAGAGCCCCGCCAGGCAAGGGACAGCGCGAGCUGCUGGGCAGAAGAGAGCAACCAGAGGGAGGGAGAGGCAGAUGGACCCUCGCCAGGAAGAGUUGUCCCCACGGGGUCAGUCAGAGGGGCUCAGGCCCGGCCAAGCCCCACCCCCCCACAACACCCUCUUCCAGGGUGGCUAAGCCAGGUCGGCCCUGGGAAACAGCUGCCCCUGGAGGGGGGACUUGGCUUGGUGCUCCUGGGACUGGACACAUGCUUGGGGCCUUCUGCUCCGCUCCAGGCACAGUCUGAAGAGCGAUGACUGUUUUCCAGCCUCAGUGGAUAAAGCAUCGUCAAAGAACAGAACCGAAGGCUCUUCUGAACCUAGAAUUAACGUACCACCUGUUUUGAGGGUGGGAGUACGUCUCUAGAGACGGCAGAGAAUUCAUGCCAAGCGCGUUUAGCUCCUGCCUUCGUCGCUGGUGCUGGCGCCUUUAAAUACUCCGCAGCGCAGAGGUUCAGCUCUGCGGUGUGUGGGAGGAUGUGGAAGCAAGGCUGAGCAGCAGGAGGGCAGGGGGGUUGUGUCCGAUCCCGUCUGUGUCCCUGCGCGUGCACUGGUGUCGCAGCCCCGCCUGGCUCCGCACUGCGUAAAGCUGCGCUGCGUGAGCCCAGGCAGUAAGGCCCUGUGCCCGUUUCCUGUGUGGGAAGUGAGUUUGGGGCUUCAGCCGAGGAUGAAAGCACAGGCGAUUCUGCUGCGCGCGCAAGGGCUGCAAUCCCCUGCGCCCCGAGCGCUCGCAGCCCUCUAGCCCCCCGGGGUUGUCAGGGGAGGGGGCGCCUGGGCAUCAGUGCAGAGGGAGAAAGAAGGUCCCAGGUAGUAAAAUGAAGGAGCAGACGUGGUGCGAGGCCUUCUGUGCGUGCUUCGCAGAGUGAGCGGGCGAGGAUCCAGCUCUCCGCUCUGUUCCCUUCCUUGGAAGCUGUCUGUAAACAAAGGUUUCUGUUCGCUGCUGGCUGGAAGGCCGGGGAGGGGACGAGCACACUGAGCCGAUGGGACUGAAAAUCUCCUGCUAUUUCCCCCAUUUUAUCUGCCUGGAGUGUGGAAGGACAGCUGCCGUCAUCUCCAGCGAGACAGUUGGACAGCAGAGAGUCAUUCUGGCCCUCAGGAUCGCAGGCUCAGGCUCACUCGGGUAGGCAGCUGUUGAUCCAGCGAGCUGUCAAGACGUUAAAAUCACCAAAUGCUUCACCGUGUCCCUACGCGAAUUAAAUACGAGUGAGAGAAGACUUGGCGGUGCUGGAGACCUGUGCACGACGAGCCUUUCAGGGGGAUGGGGACAAGGAAUUGUCUGGAGACGUCCCCAGAGAGUGAUGGGAAUCGGUGAAAUCCGAAUCUCCGCUGGAGCUGAGGAAGAAGGCCUGGAUCGGGGAUGUCCGAGCUGGCUCUGUUGCAUCCUGCGGGAACCACGUGAAGGCCAGCUGCUGCUGGAUAGCAUUCAAUGCCGAGACGACAGGUGUGCUGGGCAUCGUGCCACUGGAGUGCCAGGAUGGAGACAAGAGGACCGUGUCUCAGCUCUGCUGUCACUCAGACGUGGUGACAGACUUUGACUUCUCGCCGUUUGAUCAGCUCCUGCUGGCAACAGGCUCCGCUGAUGAAAUGGUGAAGGUGUGGCGUCUUCCCGAGAGCGGCCAGGACAUGCCCGCCGGCGCCGGGCUGACCCUGGGGCCCGUGGGCUGCCCUGUGGACGUGCUGCAGUUCCACCCCACAGCGGACGGAGUGCUGGCCA